rnacentral:rRNA from 1 species
GACGAACGCUGGCGGCGUGCCUAAUACAUGCAAGUCGAACAGUGGCGAACGGGUGAGUAACACGUGAGUAACCUGCCCUCCACUUUGGGAUAACUCCGAGAAACCGGGGCUAAUACCGGAUAGUGGGGGCUGGGCUCGGGGCCUACCCGUUUGUUGGUGAGGUAGUGGUCACCAAGGCGUGAAGGGUAGCCGGCCUGAGGGGGAGGCCGGCCACAACGGGACUAAGACACGGACCAGACUCCUACGGGAGGCAGCAGUGGGGAAUAUUGCACAGUGGGCGAAAGCCUGAUGCAGCGACGCUGCGUGGGGGAAGACGGCCUUCGAGUUGUAAACCACUUUCAGCAAGGAAGCGGUACUUGCAGAAGAAGCGCCGGCUAACUACGUGCCAGCCGCCGCGGUAAUUC